GUUUGGGGGGAGUGACGUGCUGAUGCAUGCCCGUGUCCAACAGAAUAAAAAGGGCACUUACUGCAGCAGUAUCGGCAGAGUCCAUCCAGUUUCCCUCAGCAGACAUAAUUCUUCUGAGGUAUCAUACUUCUGCUUUAAACAGGUCACACUUUUGGGUUUUUAGUUUUAUCCCAUAUUGCCUCACCCAUCACAGCACUUUUCUGACAUCAUUGGCACGAUCCUGGAAUGGAAUUUUCUGCUAAAUGCAAAGACAUCAUCAAGACUGUCCAAAUUGUCAUGUACCUUGGGGACAGGGUGACGAUCUGGGUGAGACCUUUUGUUGAGUUCUCUGAAGUCAAUACACAAGCGCAGGGUACCAAUACUGAGACAGAUUUUUCGACCCAUCCCAAGUCCUCCGAAUCUGCCAGAAACACUCCAACCUCUACAACUUCUUCAACCUCUUCAAACUCCCCUGCACUUCCUUCAGGCCAUAGGUGUGGGUGCCCUGUCUGUACCCUGUACAUGGCUGAUAAUUAAGCUGAGAAUUGCUCAUCUCUGUUUUA